rnacentral:lncRNA from 1 species
AAAAAAUCAUCACCAUAUCUAAAAGAAAACCUCUAAUACUUGCAUCUUCCUACUACCAUCAACAAACCACUCUCAUUCAAUACACCCUUUAUACCCCUUCAUCCAUUAUUAAACAUAAUAGACAACACAACCUCUUCUUCAAUAUACAUAACACCCUCCUUCCAUAACACCUCCAUUAACCUUGGCCAUAAACCUCUUACCAUGAUCUCUCUGCAUCCAUGCGAACAACAACAACUAUCACAUAACUAUUAAGAUUUACAUAAUCCUCUCUCUCACUAUGAACACACAUCACCUUUCCUAAAAAAAACAGCAACACAAUCUUCCAUUUUCACUACCUUCUCCUCUCACCAACAUCACAAUCUACAUCAUCUUAAACCUUCUUUUGCAACACAAAUAAUCACAAAGUUUUCCUUCAUCUAUUCCACACUCGUUUUCUACCAAAACACCUCAAAAUACCAUACUCUUUCUCACUUUCAAAUCAAAUGAAAAAAAAAUAAUGUGGAAAAAACAAAAGAGUUGAAUAAGAUGAAUAAUUUAUUUGUAUCUUAUCCUCCGCCACUGAACACCAUCAAUCACCUCAAAAACCACCCAUUCAACCACCUUAAAGUCUCACAACCUUUC